rnacentral:rRNA from 1 species
GACGAACGCUGGCGGCGUGCUUAACACAUGCAAGUCGAACGGAGCACCCCUGAAGGAGUUUUCGGACAACGGAUGGGAAUGCUUAGUGGCGGACUGGUGAGUAACGCGUGAGGAACCUGCCUUCCAGAGGGGGACAACAGUUGGAAACGACUGCUAAUACCGCAUGAUGCAUCGAAGUCGCAUGGCUUUGGUGUCAAAGAUUUAUCGCUGGAAGAUGGCCUCGCGUCUGAUUAGCUAGUUGGUGAGGUAACGGCCCACCAAGGCGACGAUCAGUAGCCGGACUGAGAGGUUGGCCGGCCACAUUGGGACUGAGAUACGGCCCAGACUCCUACGGGAGGCAGCAGUGGGGAAUAUUGGGCAAUGGACGCAAGUCUGACCCAGCAACGCCGCGUGAAGGAAGAAGGCUUUCGGGUUGUAAACUUCUUUUAAGGGGGAAGAGUAGAAGACGGU